rnacentral:misc_RNA from 1 species
GAUGAAGAACGUAGCGAAAUGCGAUACUUGGUGUGAAUUGCAGAAUCCCGUGAACCAUCGAGUCUUUGAACGCAAGUUGCGCCCGAAGCCACUAGGCCGAGGGCACGCCUGCCUGGGCGUCACACGUCGUUGCCCCCCCAUCUACUCCUUCGGGAUUGCGGGGGGGCGGAUGAUGGCCUCCCGUGCGCCUAGCCGCGCGGUUGGCAUGAAUACCAAGUCCUCGGCGACGCACGCCACGACAAUCGGUGGUUGCGAAACCUCGGUUGCCCGUCGUGUGCGUUCGUCGCGCAUCGAGGGCUCGAAAAAAUGCUCGGCUCCGGCUGGGCUUUCAACGCGACCCCAGGUCAGGCGGGGUUACCCGCUGAAUUUAAGCAUAUCAAUAAGCGGAGGA